rnacentral:rRNA from 1 species
UACGUAGGGUGCGAGCGUUAAUCGGAAUUACUGGGCGUAAAGCGUGCGCAGGCGGUUUUGUAAGCCAGAUGUGAAAGCCCCGGGCUUAACCUGGGAAUGGCAUUUGGGACUGCAAGGCUUGAGUGCGGCAGAGGAGACUGGAAUUCCUGGUGUAGCAGUGAAAUGCGUAGAUAUCGGGAGGAACACCGGUGGCGAAGGCGGCAUCCUGGACCGAGAUUGACGCUGAGGCGCGAAAGCCAGGGGAGCAAACGGG